rfam:Schistosoma mansoni strain Puerto Rico chromosome 3, complete genome
AUCCAGCUGACGAGUCCCAAAUAGGACGAAACGCGCGUCUAACUGGAU